rnacentral:piRNA from 1 species
UCCAGUCUCAACAGACUCAGGUCAGGUCUC